ensembl:lncRNA
CUAAGGUAGAAGCCAUUUGUAGCUUCCCAACCCCCACCACUCAUUGUGAAUUGCGACGAUUUCUUGGCAUGGUGGGAUAUUAUAGGAGUUUUUGCGAGAAUUUUGCUACUGUAGUUUCACCUCUCCGAAAAUACAUUUUCAGUGGUCUGAGACAUCUCAGAAGGCUUUUGAAAAUUGUAAAGCUUUACUGGCAUGUGCUCCUGUUUUGACAGCCCCGAAUUUUGAAAAGUCUUUUAGUCUUGCAAUUGAUGUUAGUGCUUGCAGUGCGGGCGCAGUUCUCUUGCAAGAAGAUUGAAAUGGGAUUCAACAUCCUGUUAGUUACUUUUCAAAGGAAAUUUAACCAGCAUCAACAGGUCUACUCCACUAUUGAGAAGGAAGCCCUUGCCCUAGGGUUGGCUGUUCAACAUUUUGAGGUAUAUCUGGGAUCAAUUGCUGUGCCAAUCAUCAUUUAUACGGAUCAUAACCCUUUGGUUUUCUUGAAUUGGCUGAGAAAUCGAAACCAAUGACUUAUGCGAUGGAGCAGUUAGUCAAGUCUGCUUUGUCAAUUCUUCCACAUGUACAGUACAUACAUACAGAGAAUUGAAAUUGCGUUACUCUCAGACCCUUGGUGCUUACAGAUAACACUAACAAUAGAACAUUAAAUACAGAUAAAAUAUAAAGUACAACUAUACAAAUAGGUCGUGUAUAAAGAAAGAUAAGUAAAGCAGCACAAGGCACAUGGCAGAUAGAGUGCAAACCAGUGAAGUAAACAAACAGUGCAGAUAUAAUGAUUGUAGUGCAAAAGAGCUAAUUCAGUCUGAUUAAAGUGUCAAAAAUCUCAGAGAGCAAUUCUUUAUUUAAACUGACAGAAGAGGUAGUUGAAUGAGGUAGUGAGAAGACCAAUGCUGAACAAAUUGUCUGGUGCAGGUCACAGUGUGUUAGUGGGAGCUGAGGGGGACUGAGCUUCCUGACAGCCUGGUGAAUGAAGCUGUCCUUCAGUCUGCUGGUCCUGGCCUGGAGACUCCGCAGUCUCCUCCCUGAUGGCAGCAGACUAAAGAAACUGUGUGAUGGGUGUGUGGGAUCACCUGCGAUCCAGAGGUCUUUACGGGUGAGACGGGUUCCAUAAAUGUCCUGGAGGGAGGGGAGAGAGACACCAACGAUCUUCUCAGCUGCUCUACACAUUAUACACUAUACACAAAAUGUACACAUUCUACAUUAUGUAGACAUAUAUACACAUAAAAAUAUGCUAAGGUGCAACAGAUUAUACAUGAACUGGAUACACAAAAUGUCAUGGAUGUGCAUUGGAUGGUAUACAGUGGUAGCAGAUAGAUUAUUGUAUUAAAUGCAAUGUGUAUGUAUAGUCCAGUGUUGAAAUUAAAGUGCAGUGUGUGGCAUACCAUAUUGUGGGAAUAUGCUGUAGGGUGUAUUAGUUUUGACUGUAAAUUAGUCUGAUAGCCUGAGGGAAAAAGCUAUCCCUCAGUCGACUAGUGUGGGAUCGGAUGCUGCGGAGACAUCUUCCUGAGGGCACCAGAGAGAGCAGUUUGUGGGACGGGUGGCUGGAGUCACUGAGGAUCCUCCGGGCUUUCCUUAUGCACUGCCUGGUAUAGAUGUCUUGGAGGGAGGGAAGCUCACCUCCAACAAUGUGGCUGGCAGUUCGCACGACCCUUUGCAGAGCUUUGCGGUUGCCAGCGGUGUUGUUUCCAAACCAGGCAGUGAUGCAGCCUGUCAGGAUGCUCUCCACAGUGCAG